ANCNUAGCUGUNUCNAGAUNNAGCCAUGCAAGUCUAAGUAUAAGCAACUAUACGGUGUAAACUGCGAAUGGCUCAUUAAAUCAGUUAUCGUUUAUUUGAUAGUACCUUACUACAUGGAUAACCGUGGUAAUUCUAGAGCUAAUACAUGCUAAAAACCCCGACUUCGGGAGGGGUGUAUUUAUUAGAUAAAAAACCAAUGCCCUUCGGGGCUCCUUGGUGAAUCAUAAUAACUUAACGAAUCGCAUGGCCUUGCGCCGGCGAUGGUUCAUUCAAAUUUCUGCCCUAUCAACUUUCGAUGGUAGGAUAGUGGCCUACCAUGGUAUCAACGGGUAACGGGGAAUUAGGGUUCUAUUCCGGAGAGGGAGCCUGAGAAACGGCUACCACAUCCAAGGAAGGCAGCAGGCGCGCAAAUUACCCAAUCCCGACACGGGGAGGUAGUGACAAUAAAUACUGAUACAGGGCUCUUUUGGGUCUUGUAAUUGGAAUGAGUACAAUUUAAAUCCCUUACGAGGAACAAUUGGAGGGCAAGUCUGGUGCCAGCACCGCGGUAAUUCCAGCUCCAAUAGCGUAUAUUAAAGUUGUUGCAGUU
rnacentral:rRNA from 1 species